rnacentral:misc_RNA from 1 species
UCGAGUUAGGGUUCUAGCCACCUCCCAACCCCUUGUUGACAUACCUACUGUUGCCUUCGGCGGCUCAGCUCGCGACCCCGCUAAAGCGGGUCCCGGCCCGCCCGCCGAUGGCAACCACUAAAACUCUGUAUAUCGUGGAACUUCAUGAGUCUAAGUCAAUGAUUAAUAAGAUCA